UUGGGCGGCGAGGGGCUUUUGGGGUAGACCUCCCACCCUGUGUCGUUAUACCUUUGUUGCUUUGGCGGGCCGCGGGGCUCCGGCCCCGCCCCUGGCUCCGGCUAGGGCGCGCCCGCCAGAGGACUCGAAACCCUGAAUGUUAGUGUCGUCUGAGUACUAUAUAAUAGUUAAAAACUUUCAACAACGGAUCUCUUGGUUCUGGCAUCGAUGAAGAACGCAGCGAAAUGCGAUAAGUAAUGUGAAUUGCAGAAUUCAGUGAAUCAUCGAAUCUUUGAACGCACAUUGCGCCCCUUGGUAUUCCGGGGGGCAUGCCUGUUCGAGCGUCAUUACACCCUCAAGCUCCGCUUGGUCUUGGGCGUCACCGGUCCCCGGUGUGCCUUAAAAUCAGUGGCGGCGCCGUCUGGCUCUAAGCGUAGUACAUACUCUCGCUACAGACGCCCGGCGGACGCUGGCCAGCAACCCCCAAUCUAUCAAGGUUGACCUCGGAUCAGGUAGGGAUACCCGCUGAACUUAAGCAUAUCAAAAGCCGGAGGAAAUCCCGACCCUCUGCCUUUGGGGUAGGACCUCCCCCUGUGUGUUAUACCUUUGUUGCUUUGGCGGGCCGCGGGGCUCGCCCGCCCCUGGCUCGGCUAGGGCGCGCCGCCAGAGGACUCAAACCUGAAUGUUUAGUGUCGUCUGAGUACUAUAUAAUAGUUAAAAACUUUCAACAAGAUCUUUUGUUUCUGCAUCAUAAAGAAGCACAAAUCAUAGACUAAUGUGAAAUUGCAAAAUUCAAGAAUCAGCAAUCUUUCAAUCUCGGUCAUUCGGGGGGCAUGCUGUUGCAGCCAUGUCCCUCAGCUGCUGAUUUGGGGGAUCGUCCGAGUUGCCUAAAUGUGGCGAAGCGCUAGCUCUGACGUGAUACUACCUUCGUUCAGACGCGCAAGCUGCCG
rnacentral:rRNA from 1 species